GGAUGAAGAAGAAGAAGGAAUAAGGACCAUGAAGAAGUCAGAAGAAGAAGGAAGAAGAAGGGGGAGGAAGAAGAAGGAAGUGGUGAAUGACGAAGGAGGAGGAGGAAGACGAAGUGGGAUAAAACGGUGAAUUUAACCCUAAAUGCACGAUCCACAUCAUUUACACAGUUUAACUUACCACUUUAUUGAAUCUAAAAUUUCAUUGAUUUAAGCUGCAGUUCAUUUAGUUCUAGAAGGCUAUUCUCUUUCAUUCAAUUUUGUGGUUUUGGAAAUCAAAUUGGAUAUUUUAUUUGGAAAUCGUAUUCAAUAUUCGUAAUAAACCGGAUUUGCUAAAUACGUGCUUUAUUGAAUUCUACGGUAUGUGUUGUUGUUAGUGCGGUGUUUUAUUUCUUCGCGGGACAGGCGAACUUUGUCUCGCCCCUAAUUGUUCUUUUAUAUAGUUCUAGAGUACUGUUCUAUUUCAUUCAAUUUUGUGCUUUUGGAAAUCAAAUUGGAUAUUUUAAUUGGAAAUCGUAUUUCAUUCGUGCCUUAAAUUUCAUCAUACAACUAAUAAAAUGCAAUGAAAAAGGCGUAAUAAUAUUAGUCGCCGUACACGUAAUGUUUAUACUUUAAGGUCGAAUAGAACAUUGCAAAGUAAGGAAGAGCGUGCACAAAUUAAUGCAGAUAGAAGAGAUCGAUUUGCACGAAAUCGAAACUCACCUAAUCGAUCUCUUGAUAGGCAGCCACCUCGAAAUCGGUCAAUGCGAGCGGGAGUUCGUGUUUUGCAGCAAACGCUCCUUGCUGGUUUUAAUUACGAUAGUGCGAUUGAUUACAGUGCAUAUGGCUGUAUUGGUGGAAUGACGGUGAUAUGUGCACAUUGUGGUGCAACCAAAUUUUUAAAUGAAACAGAUGGAAUGUGCUGUGCUAACGGCAAAGUGAAAUUGCCAACAUUUGAAUCUCCACCCGAUCCACUACGUUCGCUGAUUUUUGGAAUGGUAUCAACGUCGACACAUUUUUUGUCUCAUUCAAGAAUGCAAUGCAUCAUUUCAAAUGACUUCUUUUGGUGCGACAAAAAUUUUAAGAGACAAAUUUAUGCCGACGUUCAAGGAUAUUAGUUCUUCUUCCUUCUUCUUCUUCAUCCUCCUUCUUCUUUCUCCUCCUUCUUCUUCCUUCUUCGUCUCACAUAUUACAGAUUCAGGGUAAGAUUUACCACCGCGCUGGCUCAUUAUUACCAUAUCAUGAUACCGACCAUCAAUUCUUACAAAUCAAUUUCGUUGGAAAUGAAAAUCGCGAAUUGGAUCGGCGAUGUACAAUUGCUUUGAGGACAAGGCGACAAAAUGUUUCUGAGCUUCAAACAUUUUUUCAUCAAAAUAAUGAAUUAGUUCGAUUAUUCAAAAUCGCUCUCGAUCGUAUGCCAUCGGAUAAUCACAAAAUCAUCAUAAAAGCCGAUAGAAUACCAAUCGGAGAGCAUGCCAGACGAUUUAGUGCACCGACAAUCGAUGAUGUGGCUAUUGUAAUUGUUGGGGACCAGUUUCAAUCCCGCGACUCCGUGCUAUUCACUUUAACACAAGAAGACAUUUUAAUUUUUUGAUAAUGCAUUCAUUACAGGUCGUGACAUUCAAAAAAAAGUUUGUGCGAUGAACUAUUACUCGUACAGAUUCAUGAUUCGCCCACAAGAAGACAAUUUCAUUUUGAGAUGUGGCAAACUUUUUAAUCAAUACGCUGUUGACAUGUACGCAAAAAUAGAAACAGAACGUCUGAAUUACCUUUGAUUCAAUCAAGCAAAUUUACGAUCGGAAGAAUAUAUACAUUUGCGAGAUGGUAAUGCAAAUGAUAUCGGACGUUUAACAAUAUUACCAUCCACAUAUGUCGGCAGUCCGCGUCGCAUGCAUGAAUACACGCAAGAUGCAAUGUCAUACGUUCGCAAAUAUGGUCGACCAGACUUUUUUAUAUUAUUUACAUGAAAUACGCAGUGGGCGAUUUUGGCCAUACAACAACAAUUAGAGUUCAUAAUCAAGACACUAUCAUUGACAAUCGUUGGGUAGCGAUUAUUUGGACUGCAAAAACAUGGCAACGACGUAAAAGAGGAGCCCCAGUUGAUGGUCAUUCAGGCGUUUUAUAUGAAGAUAUUAUGGGAAGGUUGUACACAGUUCAUCCAAACAAUGCAGAGUGCUUUUAUUUGCUACUGUUGUUGGUAAACGUUGUAGGACCGCGCUCAUUUCAACAUUUGCGAACAGUUAAUGGUCAUUUAUGUCAGACAUAUCGCGAAGCAUGUGAACACUUACAUUUGUUGGAAAAUGAUGCUCAUUGGGAUUUGACACUUAACGAUACAUCGAUUUCUUCUUCUCCACAUCAAAUACGUAUGCUAUAUGCCAUAAUAUUAUCGACAUGCUUUCCAUCGAAUCCAUUCGAUUUGUUGAAUAAAUAUAAAGGUUUAAUGGCCGAAGACUUUUUAAAUCGAAUGCGUCAUCACACCAGAAAUCACGAUUUGCUGAUCUCAUGGGAAAUGUAUAACGAGGCAUUGAUAUCGAUUGAAGAUAUGUGACUUGCGAUGGCAAAUAAAGCAUUAGGUCAAUUAGGUAUGCCUUCACCGAAUCGUCCAAUGCAUGAUUUGUUUGAUCGAGAAUUGCAACGUGAACAACCUACCCAAAUUGAACGACCAACAAAAACAUGUUUACGAUACCAUUAUGCAAGCAGUACAUAAUGAUGGUGGAUUGUAUUUUUUGGAUGCGCCUGGAGGUACGGGUAAAACAUUUGUGGUAUCAUUGAUUUUGGCAGCCAUUCGGUCACAACAAAAAAUUGCAUUGGCACUUGCUUCGUCAGGAAUAGCUGCUACUUUAUUGGAUGGUGGAAGAACACCACACUCAGCAUUAAAAUUGCCGUUAAAUGUGCAGGUGAUUGACAAUCCCACAUGCAACAUAUCAAGAAAUUCUCCAAUGGCAAAAGUUUUGCAGCAAGCAGCAAUUAUUCUUUUGGAUGAAUAAAAAAUGUCUGGAAGCAUUAAACAGAACAAUGCAAGAUCUACGUCGCAAUCAACAAAUUUUUGGUGGUGCACUAAUAUUUUUGUCAGGAGAUUUCCGACAAACAUGGCCCGUCAUUCCACAUGCAAUGUUAGCGGAUCAGGUCAAUGCGUGCUUGAAGUAUUAUUUCCUGUGGCGAUAUGUCCAAAAAUUGCCAUUAAACAUAAACAUGCGUGUUCAAUUGCACAAUGAUCAAUCUGCAGAACGGUGUGCGAAGCAAUUAUUAGAAAUCGGAAGUGGCAAAGUUCCAAGUACAAAUAACUUGAUCACUUUGCCAAACAAUUUUUGUACAAUUCUACAAUCUAAAGGCGAAUUAAUAGAAAGCGUUUUUCAAAAUAUAAUUCAAAAUCACAGAAAUCACGAUUGGUUGACAGAACGAGCAAUAUUGUCAUCAAAAUUUGUACAUGUCAAUGAAAUCAAUUUUCACAUUAAAGAAUUUUCACAUUUAAA